CCAUUUUGGGUGUUUCAGUGGUGGUCUCAGCAGACCCUUAUGAGCACAAGUCUUCUCCACCACCACCAUAUGAGUACAAGUCUCCACCACCACCCUCACCUUCACCUCCACCAUAUGAAUAUAAGUCUCCUCCCCCACCACCAUAUGAGUACAAGUCUCCACCACCACCCUCUCCUUCACCACCACCAUAUGAGUACAAGUCUCCUCCCCCACCACCAUAUGAGUACAAGUCUCCACCACCACCCUCACCUUCACCUGCACCGUAUGAAUACAAGUCUCCUCCCCCACCACCAUAUGAAUAUAAAUCUCCUCCCCCACCACCAUAUGAGUACAAGUCUCCACCACCACCCUCUCCUUCACCUGCACCAUAUGAAUACAAGUCUCCUCCACCACCACCAUAUGAAUAUAAGUCUCCUCCCCCACCACCAUAUGAGUACAAGUCUCCACCACCACCCUCUCCUUCACCUCCACCAUAUGAGUACAAGUCUCCUCCCCCACCACCAUAUGAGUACAAGUCUCCACCACCACCCUCACCUUCACCUGCACCGUAUGAAUACAAGUCUCCUCCCCCACCACCAUAUGAAUAUAAGUCUCCUCCACCACCCUCUCCUUCACCUGCACCAUAUGAAUACAAGUCUCCUCCACCACCACCAUAUGAAUAUAAGUCUCCUCCUCCACCUUCACCCUCUCCACCACCACCAUAUGAGUACAAGUCUCCACCACCACCCUCUCCUUCACCUGCACCAUAUAAAUACAAGUCUCCUCCACCACCACCAUAUGAAUAUAAGUCUCCUCCUCCACCUUCACCUUCACCUGCACCAUAUAAAUACAAGUCUCCUCCACCACCACCAUAUGAAUAUAAGUCUCCUCCCCACCACCAUAUGAGUACAAGUCUCCACCACCACCCUCUCCUUCACCUGCACCAUAUAAAUACAAGUCUCCUCCCCCACCACCAUAUGAGUACAAGUCUCCACCACCACCCUCUCCUUCACCUGCACCAUAUAAAUACAAGUCUCCUCCACCACCACCAUAUGAAUAUAAGUCUCCUCCUCCACCUUCACCCUCUCCACCACCACCAUAUGAGUACAAGUCUCCACCACCACCCUCUCCUUCACCUGCACCAUAUAAAUACAAGUCUCCUCCACCACCACCAUAUGAAUAUAAGUCUCCUCCUCCACCUUCACCCUCUCCACUACCACCAUAUGAGUACAAGUCUCCACCACCACCCUCUCCUUCAC
rnacentral:lncRNA from 1 species